UGCUCUAGCCCUCAUUGAUGG
rnacentral:siRNA from 1 species